rnacentral:rRNA from 1 species
UACGUAGGGGGCAAGCGUUGUCCGGAUUUAUUGGGCGUAAAGAGCGUGUAGGCGGCCAAGCAGGUCCGCUGUGAAAACUCGAGGCUCAACCUCGAGACGUCGGUGGAAACCGUUUGGCUAGAGUCCGGAAGAGGAGAGUGGAAUUCCUGGUGUAGCGGUGGAAUGCGCAGAUAUCAGGAGGAACACCGGUGGCGAAGGCGGGUCUCUGGGCCGAUACUGACACUGAGAAGCGAAAGCGUGGGGAGCGAACAGG